AUAACGUUCAGUACGUCAGUUGAUCAAAAAUGACGGAGAGUCAGAAACUGAAGAAAACGAACGAAGAACCCUGAGAGAAAUCAACAAGAUAAGAGCAGAGACUAAAGCUAGGAGCCUAGCAGAGUGAAAGAUAUAUCAUAGCAAGGUACGAUUCUUCACUACAGUUUUUUUUGUAUCAAUAUUACGAUUUUAUAACUUUGUUUUUUUUGUUUUUAGAGGGAUUACAAAGGUGAACAAGAAGAAAAAAUAAAGAAAAACCAUCAAGCAAGAGAAGCAAGAGAAGAAAGUACAAGAAACAAAUAGCCAAGAUCAUCCUCAGAUUGAGGCAAACUAAAAGACUACCGUAAUUGAGUGGGAUACAUAAAAGCAGAUAAAACGAAGACAUCAACACCUGAGGCCAAGCAACACACUGAAAGGAGGAAGGAGACUGAUCAAUUGACGGAGAAGCCAUCUCUACCACCAUUCCACUUCUCCGCCUCAGGCCGUCGAAAUUGCCGUGUGCCACCGCCAUCCCAGCCAGCCCUCAAUACUGAGAUCGAGCGGCGACUUCAGCUUUCCCGAGACUUUCUGAGACAGAACCUGCAGAGAAACAACCAAAAAUAAGCAGCCACGAGGAGAACUCAGACACUCAGACCGAACACAACAAAUCUCUCGAAGGAAGCACCAAGUCUACG
rnacentral:lncRNA from 1 species